rnacentral:rRNA from 1 species
CCUACGGGAGGCAGCACUGGGGAAUCUUCCGCAAUGCGGGGCGAAAGCCUGACGCAGCGACGCCGCGUGCGGGAUGAAGGCUUUCGGGUCGUAAACCUCUGUCGGCAGGGAAGAAACGACGUUGUUCUAAUCAGCCUUUGUCUCUAAAGACGGUACCUUCAAAGGAAGCACCGGCUAACUCCGUGCCAUCAGCCGCGUUAAU